UACGUAGGGUGCAAGCGUUAAUCGGGAUUACUGGGCGUAAAGCGUGCGCAGGCGGUUCUAUAAGACAGAUGUGAAAUCCCCGGGCUCAACCUGGGAACUGCAUUUGUGACUGUAGAGCUGGAGUACGGCAGAGGGGGAUGGAAUUCCGCGUGUAGCAGUGAAAUGCGUAGAUAUGCGGAGGAACACCGACGGCGAAGGCAAUCCCCUGGGCCUGUACUGACGCUCAUGCACGAAAGCGUGGGGAGCAAACAGG
rnacentral:rRNA from 1 species